AGGUUUCGACGGAAGUCUGCAGUUUUAUCCAACAAGUCAGUAGGGGAAUCACUCACUGAAGUGCAGCUUCAUGCAGAAGCUUGUUACGCAGAGUGUCAACUCCAAAGAGCUGCCCUCACCUUCCUACAGGAUGAGAACAUGGUGAGUUUUAUCAAAGGAGGGAUGAAAGUGCGGAACAGUUACUUAAUUUAUAA